rnacentral:rRNA from 1 species
AGGAUCAUUACUGAACCGUCGACACGAGUUGUUGCUGGUNNNCGAGAGGGGGCAUGUGCACGCUCUGUUUACACAUCCANNNNNNCCUGUGCACCCUCUGUAGUUCUGUGGCAUUGGGGACUCUGUCCUCUCGCCGUGGUCCUACGUCUUUACACACACACCGUAAUACAGUCUCAUGGAAUGUAUGUCGCGUUUAACGCAAUACAAUACAACUUUCAGCAACGGAUCUCUUGGCUCUCGCAUCGAUGAAGAACGCAGCGAAAUGCGAUAAGUAAUGUGAAUUGCAGAAUUCAGUGAAUCAUCGAAUCUUUGAACGCACCUUGCGCCCUUUGGCUAUUCCGAAGGGCAUGCCUGUUUGAGUAUCAUGAACACCUCAACUCUCAUGGCCUGCCAUGAUGAGCUUGGAUUUUGGGGGUCUUGCUGGCCUGACCGCCGGCUCCUCUCAAACGAAUCAGCUUGCCAGUGUUUGGUGGNAUCACAGGUGUGAUAACUAUCUACGCUUGUGGUUCUCCACCAGGUAACCUUCAGCAAUGGAGGUUCGCUGGAGCUCACAGACGUCUCUCCUCAGGGGGGACAGCUU